CCUACGGGUGGCAGCAGUGAGGAAUAUUGGUCAAUGGACGAGAGUCUGAACCAGCCAAGUAGCGUGAAGGAUGACUGCCCUAUGGGUUGUAAACUUCUUUUAUAAAGGAAUAAAACGAGGCACGUGUGCCUUUUUGCAUGUACUUUAUGAAUAAGGAUCGGCUAACUCCGUGCCAGCAGCCGCGGUAAUACGGAGGAUCCGAGCGUUAUCCGGAUUUAUUGGGUUUAAAGGGAGCGUAGAUGGGUUGUUAAGUCAGUUGUGAAAGUUUGCGGCUCAACCGUAAAAUUGCAAUUGAUACUGGCAGUCUAGAGUACAGUUGAGGUAGGCGGAAUUCGUGGUGUAGCGGUGAAAUGCUUAGAUAUCACGAAGAACCCCGAUUGCGAAGGCAGCUUACUAAACUGUGACCGACAUUGAUGCUCGAAAGUGUGGGUAUCAAACAGGAUUAGAUACCCGUGUAGUC
rnacentral:rRNA from 1 species